AUUGAACGCUGGCGGCAUGCUUUACACAUGCAAGUCGAACGGUAACAGGGAGCUUGCUCCGCUGACGAGUGGCGAACGGGUGAGUAAUGCGUCGGAACGUGCCGAGUAGUGGGGGAUAACGCAGCGAAAGUUGUGCUAAUACCGCAUACGCCCUGAGGGGGAAAGUGGGGGAUCGCAAGACCUCAUGUUAUUGGAGCGGCCGAUGGCUGAUUAGCUAGUUGGUGAGGUAAAGGCUCACCAAGGCGACGAUCAGUAGCUGGUCUGAGAGGACGACCAGCCACACUGGGACUGAGACACGGCCCAGACUCCCACGGGAGGCAGCAGUGGGGAAUUUUGGACAAUGGGCGAAAGCCUGAUCCAGCCAUGCCGCGUGUCUGAAGUAGGCCUUCGGGUUGUAAAGGACUUUUGUCAGGGAGGAAAUCCCUAGUGCUAAUAACACUGGGGGAUGACAGUACCUGAAGAAUAAGCACCGGCUAACUACGUGCCAGCAGCCGCAGUAA
rnacentral:rRNA from 1 species